rnacentral:rRNA from 1 species
GUUGUUGCGGUUAAAAGCUCGUAGUUGGAGUUCUGCCAGGUGACGCUCGUCCGCCCAGGUGGUGUGUACAGGGCGUGCAUCUGGCCCCUUCAAGGGGAACGUGUUGCACUUUAUUGUGUGGCGCGAGAUCCUUGACUUUUACUUUGAGGAAAUAAGAGUGUUCCAAGCAGGCUCUCGUCGUGCAUAGCUCAGCAUGGAAUAAUAGCAUUGGACUUCGUUUCUACGCUGUUGGUUGCAAGAAGCGAGGUAAUGAUGAAGAGGGAUAGUUGGGGGCAUUCGUAUUUAACUGUCAGAGGUGAAAUUCUUGUAUUUGUUAAAGACGGACUACUGCGAAAGCAUCUGCCAUGGAUGUUUUCAUUGAUCAAGAACGAAAGUUAGGGGAUCGAAGACGAUCAGAUACCGUCCUAGUCUUAACUAUAAACCAUGCCGGCUAGAGAUCGGAGGUCGUUCAAUUUGUGACACCUUCAGCAUCUUGAGAGAAAUCAAAGCCUUUGGGUUCCGGGGGGAGUAUGGUCGCAAGGCUGAAACUUAAAGGAAUUGA